rnacentral:rRNA from 1 species
AGAGUGGGGAACAACCCGGAGAAAUCCGCUAAUACCGCAUACACCCUACGGGCAAAGUGGGGGACCUUUCGGGGCCUCACGCUUUUGGAUGAGUCUGCGUCGGAUUAGCUUGUUGGUAGGGUAAUGGCCUACCAAGGCGACGAUCCGUAGCUGGUCUGAGAGGAUGACCAGCCACACUGGGACUGAGACACGGCCCAGACUCCUACGGGAGGCAGCAGUGGGGAAUAUUGGACAAUGGGGGCAACCCUGAUCCAGCCAUGCCGCGUGUGUGAAGAAGGCCUUCGGGUUGUAAAGCACUUUCAGUAGGGAAGAAAAGCUUGAGGAUAAUACCCUCGAGUCUUGACGGUACCUACAGAAGAAGCACCGGCUAAUUCCGUGCCAGCAGCCGCGGUAAUACGGAAGGUGCAAGCGUUAAUCGGAAUUACUGGGCGUAAAGCGCGCGUAGGGGCUAGAUAAGUCGGGUGUGAAAGCCCUGGGCUCAACCUGGGAACUGCAUUCGAUACUGUCUAGCUAGAGUCUGGUAGAGGGAGGCGGAAUUCCGCAUGUAGCGUGAAAUGCGUAGAGAUGCGGAGGAACACCAAUGGCGAAGGAGCCUCCUGGACUAAGACUGACGCUGAGGCGCGAAAGUGGGGAGCAAACAGGAUUAGAUACCCUGGUAGUCCACGCCGUAAACGAUGUCAACUAGCCGUUGGGAGCAUUUUGGCUCUUGGUGGCGCAGUAACGCGAUAAAGUUGACCGCCUGGGGAGUACGGUCGCAAGAUUAAAACUCA